GCCAAUUAGUGUCAAGCUCUGUUGGGGCUCUGGAGAGAGGUACAAGAUUUCAUUAUUAUCUUUUUAGCCUUCUGACACAAUGUGAGAAGCCUCCUACAAAAGUGACCAAACAGGAUGAUUUCUAAAGCAUCAGUCUGCUGAAAGUUAACCAUCAAGAACAACUCCAAAGGUUCCUUGAUGCUGUAAGAAUAAUAAGCUAUCACACAGUGCAUUGGAGAAUAAGCUUUUACUUACAGUACUGGAAGUUUAAAGAAAAGGAAAGAUAUGAACACCAUGUGAAGAAAUUAUCAGCACAUUCCAUGUUGCCAUGGUUUAACCCCAGACAGCAACUAAGCUGCACACGGCUGUUCACUCACUCCGCCCCUGUGGGAUAGAAAGGAGAAUUGGAAGGGUAAAAUUGAUAAAACUCAUGGGUAGAGACAAAGACAGUGUAACAACUGAAAUUAAAUAAUAAUAGGCAAUAACAACAACAAAGCAACAAAGAAACAAUACUACUACUACUAAUAAUAUCACGCAGAGUAAUAAAAUCCAAGAAAAGCAGGUGAUAAAAAUGAAAAUUAUUUCUCAGUAUUAACCAACCUAUUCCAAUUCAGUUCCUCAGCAGCUCAUCUCCCCAUCAAUCAUUUUCACUAGUUAAUUGCAGAACACAAUAUCAUGUGGUGUGGAAUAUCCAUAUGGUCAGUUGGGAUCAGCUGUCUCAGGAGAGCCCCCUCCCAGCUCCUGGUGCAUGACCAGCCCACUCACUGGGGUGAGGUAAGAAACAGGAAAGGCCUUGAUGCUGUGUGAGCACUGCUCAACAAUAACAAAAACAUCUCUAGAUUGUCAACAGGUUGUGCUGUUUUCAGCACAAAUCCAAACCACAGCCACAUACCGGCUAUUGUGAAAGAAAGUAACUCUAUCUCAGCCAAAAUCAGCACAUACACAUGUGGCUUUUGGCCCCUUUUCUAUUGCUCCUGCAGAUGCUAUGCUGCCUACUGGAAAUAUAAUGGGCAAAGGCUCAGGACAAAUGUGUAUUUUUCAGUUCCAUUGACUAAUUGAUUCAUCCAAAAAUGAGACACCAGAGCUUGAGGCCUUUCUCUCUCUGUGAGUCAGCUCUCCUCUCCCAGCAGACAGCUGGGAUCAGAUAGUGGGUGAUCAGAAACACCAGAAGAAAACCUGCAGAUUCUGGACAACCACUUAUUAGCAAACUCAGGGUCCUCAGGGAGAGCAUAAUUACUAACUGCAAUAAGAUGAAUGUGAAGCUGUUCCUAGCAUCCUCCAGUGAUAAAGGUACUAGGAAGAACACUUGUUUUUUGCAUUAAGGAAUACUUGUGCAAAAUGUAGUGGCAGUCAGACCUAGUUCCUGAGAAUUAUGUUUUUCAUCCUUUGGCUGCAAAGAUUUCUGCAGAAAUCCUGAAUGAAGCUGCAGAGGCCAGGUUCAGCACAGAGGAUAGGGAAAGUGCUCAAACACUGCAGUCUGGCCUGGUACUACCAAGACAUGCUGCCACAUGAGUUUCAGCCUUGGAGGUUUGAACAAAAGGUAGCCUAGGAUCGAGAUCUCACAAAUUCUGAUAGUCCCAGCAUGCCCAUCAUUCCGAAGUUAGUGUUAUCAGUGUCUUCUAGGAGAUUC